rfam:Ipomoea nil DNA, scaffold: scaffold3056, cultivar: Tokyo-kokei standard.
CCGACCUUAGCUCAGUUGGUAGAGUGGUGGACUGUAGUUGGACUAAUCUAAAUUGGAAAUCUUUAGGUCGCUGGUUGGAUUGCGGCAGGUCGGA